CUCCCUGUCGUGUCCCCUCGUCUCACGUGUCACGGGUGUCUGGGGGUAUUCGGUCCGGAACUGCUCUGCCCUGCCGCCCGGCCCCGUUGCAGGUGUUCAAGGACAAGUCCCGGGCACUUGUAAUUGGAGACUCGUAAUACGGGCUGUAGUUGGAGUCUAGAUGCGGAUGGAUCGACCUCCUGGCAGAGCGCCUCGUCCCAGAUGAGGGGAUCCCCCUGAGAAGGAAGUAAAGCCGGAUAGCAGCAGUGAAGGUGAAGCAUUGUGAAGGUGGUCUACUUGCAAGAUAUCCCAGCCCAGGAUGCCAGAGGACAGGUGGGUGCAAGCUCUAAGUGUGUUUUGGUGUUUAAGUCCCUGGUUUGCUGAUAAUGUUUAGUUCUCUCAGAUAGAAUGAAAGAACCAUAUCAUGAAUCCCACCUUGUGGAUCCUGACACGAAUCGGUGUCACGGACAGGAUUCUGAGAGACAGAAGGGGUUGCAGAUUUGUCGUGCACUCAGUAUCGGGGGAAAGACGUUUCGCCUCAGCCCCCCUAGCCUGCCAUGCCGGUGAGCAGUGUCUAGAAAGCAAGGGAGGCGAUUCGAAUUUCUCAAAAACUGCACACGCUUCGGUGCAAAGCACCCCACACUCAUUUGAGGGCUCUGUCUUCAGAAUUUUACAAGGGAUAUUUGAAUGCAAGAGUUUAGACUGACUGAUUUUUCUGUUUAAAGUACUUGUUUGCUGAUAAUGUUUAGUUCUCUAAGAUAGAAUGAAGGAACCACAUGACAAAUCCCACCUCGUGGAUCCUGACACGAAUCGGUGUCACGGACAGGAUUCUGAGAGACAGAAGGGGUUGCAGAUUUGUUGUGCGCUCAG